rnacentral:rRNA from 1 species
GAUGAACGCUGGCGGCGUGCCUAAUACAUGCAAGUCGAGCGAACAGACGAGGAGCUUGCUCCUCUGACGUUAGCGGCGGACGGGUGAGUAACACGUGGAUAACCUACCUAUAAGACUGGGAUAACUUCGGGAAACCGGAGCUAAUACCGGAUAAUAUAUUGAACCGCAUGGUUCAAUAGUGAAAGACGGUUUUGCUGUCACUUAUAGAUGGAUCCGCGCCGCAUUAGCUAGUAGGUAAGGCAACGGCUUACCAAGGCAACGAUGCGUAGCCGACCUGAGAGGGUGAUCGGCCACACUGGAACUGAGACACGGUCCAGACUCCUACGGGAGGCAGCAGUAGGGAAUCUUCCGCAAUGGGCGAAAGCCUGACGGAGCAACGCCGCGUGAGUGAUGAAGGUCUUCGGAUCGUAAAACUCUGUUAUUAGGGAAGAACAAAUGUGUAAGUAACUAUGCACGUCUUGACGGUACCUAAUCAGAAAGCCACGGCUAACUACGUG